rnacentral:misc_RNA from 1 species
GAAUAAGAGAUGUGAAAAUCCACGGUAUUUUUACCUCUGCCCCCUCCAUUUCACAUCUCUUAUUCUCCUUUGCCUCUUAACCCUCUCUCUCCCUCUCUGUGUCUUUGUAGAACCCUAAAGCUCCAGCUAUUCUGUACUGUACUGUUCUCCAAAUGGGUAUUCAUGGACCUCUGUUUAUGAUUGUAGCUGUUUUAGCUUUAGCUCCAUGUUUCGCCUCUGCUGGAGAUAUAGUACAUCACGACGAUGUAGCUCCCAAGAGGCCUGGUUGCGAAAAUAACUUUGUUCUGGUAAAAGUCCCUGCUUGGGUUGAUGGUGUGGAAGAUAUAGAGUAUGUUGGUGUUGGUGCUCGAUUUGGUCUUACUUUGGAAUCAAAAGAAAAACAUGCCAAUAAAACUAGACUCGUUUUGGCAGACCCACCUGAUCUUUGCAGACCACCCAAAAAUAAGCUCAACGGAGAUGUCAUUCUGGCGCACCGAGGUAAUUGCAGCUUCACAACCAAGUCAAAUAUUGCUGAAGACGCUAAUGCUUCAGCUAUUCUUAUAAUAAACUAUCGAACAGAACUUUUUAAAAUGGUUUGUGAAGCAAAUGAAACUGAUGUAAGAAUAGGCAUUCCUGCUGUCAUGCUUCCACAGGAUGCUGGUGCAAGCUUGGAAAAUUAUAUAAAGAAUAGCUCUGCAGUUUCUGUGCAGCUAUAUUCUCCACAGCGGCCACUUGUUGAUGUUGCAGAAGUGUUUUUGUGGCUCAUGGCUGUUGGUACCAUCUUAGGUGCUUCUUAUUGGUCUGCGUGGAGUGCCAGAGAAGUGGCUAUCGAGCAGGACAAGCUUUUAAAGGAUGGUUCAGAUGAUUUUACACACACAGAAGGUGUUACAUCUAGUGGUGUUGUUAACAUCAACACAACAUCUGCUAUUCUCUUUGUUGUGAUUGCUUCAUGUUUCUUGGUCAUGCUUUACAAACUU